GGUUAAGCGACUAAGCGUACACGGUGGAUGCCCUGGCAGUCAGAGGCGAUGAAGGACGUGCUAAUCUGCGAUAAGCGUCGGUAAGGUGAUAUGAACCGUUAUAACCGGCGAUUUCCGAAUGGGGAAACCCAGUGUGAUUCGUCACACUAUCAUUAACUGAAUCCAUAGGUUAAUGAGGCGAACCGGGGGAACUGAAACAUCUAAGUACCCCGAGGAAAAGAAAUCAACCGAGAUUCCCCCAGUAGCGGCGAGCGAACGGGGAGCAGCCCAGAGCCUGAAUCAGUGUGUGUGUUAGUGGAAGCGUCUGGAAAGGCGCGCGAUACAGGGUGACAGCCCCGUACACAAAAAUGCACAUACUGUGAGCUCGAUGAGUAGGGCGGGACACGUGGUAUCCUGUCUGAAUAUGGGGGGACCAUCCUCCAAGGCUAAAUACUCCUGACUGACCGAUAGUGAACCAGUACCGUGAGGGAAAGGCGAAAAGAACCCCGGCGAGGGGAGUGAAAAAGAACCUGAAACCGUGUACGUACAAGCAGUGGGAGCCUCUUUAUGGGGUGACUGCGUACCUUUUGUAUAAUGGGUCAGCGACUUAUAUUCUGUAGCAAGGUUAACCGAAUAGGGGAGCCGAAGGGAAACCGAGUCUUAACUGGGCGUUAAGUUGCAGGGUAUAGACCCGAAACCCGGUGAUCUAGCCAUGGGCAGGUUGAAGGUUGGGUAACACUAACUGGAGGACCGAACCGACUAAUGUUGAAAAAUUAGCGGAUGACUUGUGGCUGGGGGUGAAAGGCCAAUCAAACCGGGAGAUAGCUGGUUCUCCCCGAAAGCUAUUUAGGUAGCGCCUCGUGAAUUCAUCUCCGGGGGUAGAGCACUGUUUCGGCAAGGGGGUCAUCCCGACUUACCAACCCGAUGCAAACUGCGAAUACCGGAGAAUGUUAUCACGGGAGACACACGGCGGGUGCUAACGUCCGUCGUGAAGAGGGAAACAACCCAGACCGCCAGCUAAGGUCCCAAAGUCAUGGUUAAGUGGGAAACGAUGUGGGAAGGCCCAGACAGCCAGGAUGUUGGCUUAGAAGCAGCCAUCAUUUAAAGAAAGCGUAAUAGCUCACUGGUCGAGUCGGCCUGCGCGGAAGAUGUAACGGGGCUAAACCAUGCACCGAAGCUGCGGCAGCGAC
rnacentral:rRNA from 1 species